GGCGGACGGGUGAGUAAUGCUUAGGAAUCUGCCUAUUAGUGGGGGACAACAUCUCGAAAGGGAUGCUAAUACCGCAUACGUCCUACGGGAGAAAGCAGGGGACCUUCGGGCCUUGCGCUAAUAGAUGAGCCUAAGUCGGAUUAGCUAGUUGGUGGGGUAAAGGCCUACCAAGGCGACGAUCUGUAGCGGGUCUGAGAGGAUGAUCCGCCACACUGGGACUGAGACACGGCCCAGACUCCUACGGGAGGCAGCAGUGGGGAAUAUUGGACAAUGGGGGGAACCCUGAUCCAGCCAUGCCGCGUGUGUGAAGAAGGCCUUUUGGUUGUAAAGCACUUUAAGCGAGGAGGAGGCUACCGAGAUUAAUACUCUUGGAUAGUGGACGUUACUCGCAGAAUAAGCACCGGCUAACUCUGUGCCAGCAGCCGCGGUAAUACAGAGGGUGCAAGCGUUAAUCGGAUUUACUGGGCGUAAAGCGCGCGUAGGUGGCCAAUUAAGUCAAAUGUGAAAUCCCCGAGCUUAACUUGGGAAUUGCAUUCGAUACUGGUUGGCUAGAGUAUGGGAGAGGAUGGUAGAAUUCCAGGUGUAGCGGUGAAAUGCGUAGAGAUCUGGAGGAAUACCGAUGGCGAAGGCAGCCAUCUGGCCUAAUACUGACACUGAGGUGCGAAAGCAUGGGGAGCAAACAGGAUUAGAUACCCUGGUAGUCCAUGCCGUAAACGAUGUUUAUUAGCCGUUGGGGCCUUUGAGGCUUUAGUGGCGCAGCUA
rnacentral:rRNA from 1 species